rnacentral:rRNA from 1 species
UACGAAGGGGGCUAGCGUUGUUCGGAAUCACUGGGCGUAAAGCGCACGUAGGCGGAUCUUUAAGUCAGGGGUGAAAUCCCGAGGCUCAACCUCGGAACUGCCUUGAUACUGGGGAUCUCGAGUCCGGGAGAGGUGAGUGGAACUGCGAGUGUAGAGGUGAAAUUCGUAGAUAUUCGCAAGAACACCAGUGGCGAAGGCGGCUCACUGGCCGGUACUGACGCUGACGGUGCGAAAGCGUGGGGAGCAACAGGGAUAAGAAACCCCAUGUACGGU